rnacentral:rRNA from 1 species
AACGCGAAGAACCUUACCUACCCUUGACAUGUCCAGAAUUUCCGUGAAAGCGGAGAGUGCCGAAAGGAACUGGAACACAGGUGCUGCAUGGCUGUCGUCAGCUCGUGUCGUGAGAUGUUGGGUUAAGUCCCGUAACGAGCGCAACCCCUGUAUUUAAUUGCCAUCAUUAAGUUGGGUACAUUAAAUAGACUGUCGGUGAUAAACCGGAGGAAGGUGGGGAUGAUGUCAAGUCCUCAUGGCCCUUAUGGGUAGGGCUACACACGUGCUACAAUGGGCAGUACAGAGGGAAGCGAAGCCGCGAGGUGAAGCAAAACUCAGAAAGCUGUUCGUAGUCCGGAUUGGAGUCUGCAACUCGACUCUAUGAAGCUGGAAUCGCUAGUAAUCGCGGAUCAGAAUGCCGCGGUGAAUACGUUCCCGGGCCUUGUACACACCGCUGUA